rnacentral:rRNA from 1 species
AACGAACGCUGGCGGCACGCUUAACACAUGCAAGUCGAAUGCUGAAGAGAGCUUGCUCUUGGAAGCAUGGCAGACGGGUGAGUAAAGUAUAGGAACAUACCCUGAAGUGGGGGAUAACAUUGGGAAACUGGUGCUAAUACCGCAUACGUCCGAAAGGAGAAAGGUUUACCGCUUUAGGAGUGGCCUAUAUCAGAUUAGAUAGUUGGUGAGGUAAAGGCUCACCAAGUCUGUGAUCUGUAGCUGAUUUGAGAGGAUGAUCAGCCACACUGGGACUGAGACACGGCCCAGACUCCUACGGGAGGCAGCAGUGGGGAAUAUUGGACAAUGGGGGAAACCCUGAUCCAGCGAUGCCGCGUGUAUGAUGAAGGUCUUCGGAUUGUAAAGUACUUUUAUAGGUGACGAUGAUGACGGCAACCUAUGAAUAAGCUCCGGCUAACUUCGCGCCAGCCGCCGCCGUAACAC